rnacentral:rRNA from 1 species
AUUGAACGCUGGCGGCGUGCUUAACACAUGCAAGUCGAGCGGUAACAGGCGUAGCAAUACGUGCUGACGAGCGGCGAACGGGUGCGUAAUACAUGGGAAUCUGCCCUUUGGUGGGGAAUAACCCGGCGAAAGCCGGGCUAAUGCCGCAUAAGAUCUUCGGAUGAAAGCGGGGGAUCGUAAGACCUCGCGCCGAUGGAUGAGCCCAUGUCGGAUUAGCUAGUUGGUGAGGUAACGGCUCACCAAGGCGACGAUCCGUAGCUGGUCUGAGAGGACGGCCAGCCACACUGGGACUGAGACACGGCCCAGACUCCUACGGGAGGCAGCAGUGGGGAAUAUUGGACAAUGGGGGAAACCCUGAUCCAGCGACGCCGCGUGUGUGAAGAAGGCCUGCGGGUUGUAAAGCACUUUCGAUGGGAACGAAAUGUGCCGGGCUAAUACCCCGGCGUAAUGACGGUACCGUAAGAAUAAGCACCGGCUAACUACGUGCCAGCCGCCGCCGUAA